GACGAACGCUGGCGGCGUGCCUAAUACAUGCAAGUAGAACGCACAGUUUAUACCGUAGCUUGCUACACCAUAGACUGUGAGUUGCGAACGGGUGAGUAACGCGUAGGUAACCUGCCUGGUAGCGGGGGAUAACUAUUGGAAACGAUAACUAAUACCGCAUAAUAUUAAUUAUUGCAUGAUAAUUAAUUGAAAGGUGCAAUUGCACCACUACCAGAUGGACCUGCGUUGUAUUAGCUAGUAGGUGAGGUAACGGCUCACCUAGGCGACGAUACAUAGCCGACCUGAGAGGGUGAUCGGCCACACUGGGACUGAGACACGGCCCAGACUCCUACGGGAGGCAGCAGUAGGGAAUCUUCGGCAAUGGACGAAAGUCUGACCGAGCAACGCCGCGUGAGUGAAGAAGGUUUUCGGAUCGUAAAGCUCUGUUGUAAGAGAAGAACGGGUGUGAGAGUGGAAAGUUCACACUGUGACGGUAUCUUACCAGAAAGGGACGGCUAACUACGUG
rnacentral:rRNA from 1 species